GUUAGAGUGAUUCAUUGGGGAAGCUAUUCAUACACCACACUGCCUGGAUCUACGUUCUAGUUUUGCAAUCAGAAACUUGAAGAUGUGGGGUGUCAACCAAGGAAACCAGUAUCCCCCUGGCUACAACGGGAACCCCACUGGGUGGGUUCAGCCAGUGGUGGGAACAUACCCAGUGCAAGGGGUAUAUCCUGGUGUAGUUCAGCCAGCAGUAGUUCAGCCUGUGGUAUUCCAGUGCCCCAUGGGAUGCAUUGGGCAAUGUCAUCAUGGUCAUUACGGUCACCACGGUCACCAAAGACACCAUGGACACCACGGACAUCAUGGUCACCAUGGUUAUUACUGAG